rnacentral:rRNA from 1 species
GACGGAGGAUGCAAGUGUUAUCCGGAAUCACUGGGCGUAAAGCGUCUGUAGGUGGUUUAAUAAGUCAACUGUUAAAUCUUGAGGCUCAACCUCAAAAUCGCAGUCGAAACUAUUAGGCUAGAGUAUAGUAGGGGUAAAGGGAAUUUCCAGUGGAGCGGUGAAAUGCGUAGAGAUUGGAAGGAACAUCAGUGGCGAAAGCGACUUCCUGGACCAGUACCGACGUUCAGGCACGAAAGCGUGGGGAGCAAACAGG